rnacentral:rRNA from 1 species
GACGGAGGGUGCAAGCGUUGUUCGGAAUUACUGGGCGUAAAGGGCGCGUAGGCGGUCUGUUAAGUUCGGUGUGAAAGCCCCCGGCUCACCUGGGGAACUGCGCCGGAAACCGACAGACUCGAGUACCGGAGAGGAGGGUGGAAUUCCUGGUGUAGCGGUGAAAUGCGUAGAUAUCAGGAGGAACACCGGUGGCGAAGGCGGCCCUCUGGACGGAUACUGACGCUGAGGCGCGAAAGCUAGGGGAGCAAACGGG